CUCGGUCCCUGGCUGUGGGCCCUGGCCUGCAUCACUGCUGAGAACACAGGCAACCCUGGCCUCCAUCACUGCUGAGGACACAGGGUCCCCCCGUCCCUGGCUGUGGCCCCCGGCCUGCAUCACUGCUGAGGACACAGGUGUUCCCUGUCCCUGGCCAUGGCCCCCGACCUUCAUCACUGCUGAGGACACAGGUGUCUGUUCCCCAUCCCUGGCCGUUGCCCCCUGGCUGGCAUCACUGCUGAGGACACAGGGUCCCCCAUCCCUGGCUGUGACCCCUGGCCUCCAUCAUUGCUAAGGACACAGGCAUUUGUCCCCCUCUCCCUUGCUGUGGCCCCAAGCAUCUGCCCUUUGCCUCCCACAGGGCCGAGGGUGAAACUGAAUCCGGGACAGUGACACCCGGGCUAUUUUGGGGCUGGGCUGGG
rnacentral:lncRNA from 1 species